rnacentral:ncRNA from 1 species
AUCGAGAAGACCAACAGGGAUUGCCCUAGUAACGGCGAGUGAAGCGGCAACAGCUCAAAUUUGAAAUCUGGCUCUCGGGCCCGAGUUGUAAUUUGUAGAGGAUACUUUUGAUGCGGUGCCUUCCGAGUUCCCUGGAACGGGACGCCAUAGAGGGUGAGAGCCCCGUCUGGUUGGAUGCCAAAUCUCUGUAAAGUUCCUUCGACGAGUCGAGUAGUUUGGGAAUGCUGCUCUAAAUGGGAGGUAUAUGUCUUCUAAAGCUAAAUACCGGCCAGAGACCGAUAGCGCACAAGUAGAGUGAUCGAAAGAUGAAAAGCACUUUGAAAAGAGAGUUAAAAAGUACGUGAAAUUGUUGAAAGGGAAGCGUUUAUGACCAGACUUGGGCUUGGUUAAUCAUCUGGGGUUCUCCCCAGUGCACUUUUCCAGUCCAGGCCAGCAUCAGUUUUCGCCGGGGGAUAAAGACUUCGGGAAUGUGGCUCUCUUCGGGGAGUGUUAUAGCCCGUUGUGUAAUACCCUGGCGGGGACUGAGGUUCGCGCAUCUGCAAGGAUGCUGGCGUAAUGGUCAUCAACGACCCGUCUUGAAACACGGACCAAGGAGUCGUCUUCGUAUGCGAGUGUUCGGGUGUCAAACCCCUACGCGUAAUGAAAGUGAACGCAGGUGAGAGCUUCGGCGCAUCAUCGACCGAUCCUGAUGUUCUCGGAUGGAUUUGAGUAAGAGCAUACGGGGCCGGACCCGAAAGAAGGUGAACUAUGCCUGUAUAGGGUGAAGCCAGAGGAAACUCUGGUGGAGGCUCGCAGCGGUUCUGACGUGCAAAUCGAUCGUCAAAUAUGGGCAUGGGGGCGAAAGACUAAUCGAACCUUCUAGUAGCUGGUUUCCG